rnacentral:lncRNA from 1 species
CAGAAAAGAGUAAUCUAAACUGCAGCAAAGUCAAUAUUUAUACUUGGAUCAAGGGUUAGCCAGAAAGCAAUACAGGUUCAAACCUAAGUUGUUUUGCAGUAACCUUACGGACUCCCUGCGACCAAAUUCCAUGGUGCACCUAUGAGAGCGCCUGCAGGCACAAAGCCGAGUCCCUGACAGGAAAACAAUUUACAAUUUCCACGGGAUGACAUGCUCUAGAAGGAAGUGCAGAUUAAGAAGAAAAAGCAUUCUAGUCAGUUUGGCAAGGUGAUAUUACCAAGCUAUUUGUCCAGGUGCCUUUUGGAAAACCAUUGGAGAGAGCUAUGCUGUCCCAGUGACAUACCCUUUGCACCCAGCACAACCCCUGCUGCCCCAUGAAGGAGAACCACAACAGUUCUAACACGUUACAGGACCAUCUAACACCAAAAGACUGGGAGAUGAUCUUGAGUCCUAUGACAACUGAAACCAAUCCAUACCACCGAAGUCUCAGGUGUUUCACAGAGAUGUUAACAACAGCAUCUCCAGAAAGGCUUCAGCCUCCAGCGUUCAGUGGUAUCACACCUCCAGUAACACUGAUCUCUUCAGCUUUUAUCUGUUACUAGCAGUUUCCAGAAUCGUGGUUCAAGGAAUGCUGCUGAAGAAACGUCAACACAAACAGACACUCCUUUACGACCCCUAAGGGACGAUACACGGAGUAAAGGAAGCCUUCUGAACACGCCUUCCAGACAGCUUUCGGGUACUCCUCGAGAGCUUAGGUAACUGGCUAUUUGUAAGAGGAACUUCAACAAACAUUUCAAGGUGGAUAUUCAGGGAAAAGCGUGGAAAGGAGAAAGCUCGUAACAAGAGAUGGGAGAGUGAAGAGAACAGGCAGAAGGAAAAGGUUU